GCCAGGUGCAGUGGUGCACACCUGUAAUCCCAGUGGCUUGGGAGGCUGAGACAGGAGGAUAGAAGUUCAAAGCCAGCCUUAGCAAUGGUGAGGCACUAAGCAACUUGGUGAGACCCUGUCUCUA
rnacentral:sRNA from 1 species